CAGUAGCCACGGUAAUACGUAGGUGGCAAGCGUUGUCCGGAAUUAUUGGGCGUAAAGGGCUCGCAGGCGGUUUCUCAAGUCUGAUGUGAAAGCCCCCGGCUCAACCGGGGAGGGUCAUUGGAAGCUGGGAAACUUGAGUGCAGAAGAGGAGAGUGGAAUUCCACGUGUAGCGGUGAAAUGCGUAGAGAUGUGGAGGAACACCAGUGGCGAAGGCGACUCUCUGGUCUGUAACUGACGCUGAGGAGCGAAAGCGUGGGGAGCGAACAGGAUUAGAUACCCGUGUAGUCCCUGUCUCUUAUAC
rnacentral:rRNA from 1 species